AGGACAUCCUAACGCAGGACACCCUCCCCUGAUCUCCUCCCCUGACCACUAUGAUUUUCUGUCCUUUUCCCCAACAUUGGCUGAGAGAGGAGGGGGGAGGCAAACUUUUAAGUGUGUUAGAAUUAACUUCCCUAAGCUGUUUCCUGGCUUAAUCCUUAAUCAUGUUCCUUCACUCCCCAAAUCGUCCUGGUGUGCACGAUGACCACCUGCAUCUGAGGCAUCUGGGAGUCUCUGAAAAGUGGCGUUGCCAGAAAGAUCUAGGCUCGUGUCCAGGAGCAUUGCCACCUGGACCUGAAGACGCCCCUUGGCGGAGCCUUCGUGGCAUGAGACGGGGUGUGAACCGCAAAAGGACUCGCUAAGGCACCUUCUCCAGUAACCUCGGGAUCCAGGUAGAUGGUAUCAUCAUCUUCCAGACUCCCAGACUUUGAACCCGGAAGCCCUGGAAAGCAUCCUGGCCCUUGGGCAUGCUGACAUUUAAUGCCACAGACGACUUUGGGCCAGCCGCGUAACAGGAUUUCACACCCCCAAAGUCUGCAUGGAAGCAUCUGUGCUUAGCAGUUUUCAGAGAAAGGACGGAGGCUGUGGAGUCUGACUCUGGGGCAGAGGACGGGGCUGGGGAGCGGCUGGUCUGAAAGUGGCCUUUGGUCUCCCAGGACUAGGUGUCGGGGACUCGAGCCCGCUCUGCCACCGGCCGCCUGCGAGCCCCUGGGCAAGGCACCUGACCCGGCCACCCUGGGCCACCGGGGCUCCUCGGCUGUCAGAGGGGUUAAAGGCACCAGCUCGCCGACCUUAGGCGGGAGCAGGUCAUGGCGGGGAGGGGCUUUCUUAUAGACCCUCAGGGUAUCUUCUGGGCUUAAG